AAUGGGGGAAACCCUGAUGCAGCCAUGCCGCGUGUGUGAAGAAGGCCUUCGGGUUGUAAAGCACUUUCAGUUGUGAGGAAAAGUUAGUAGUUAAUACCUGCUAGCCGUGACGUUAACAACAGAAGAAGCACCGGCUAACUCCGUGCCAGCAGCCGCGGUAAUACGGAGGGUGCGAGCGUUAAUCGGAAUUACUGGGCGUAAAGCGCACGCAGGCGGUUUGUUAAGCUAGAUGUGAAAGCCCCGGGCUCAACCUGGGAUGGUCAUUUAGAACUGGCAGACUAGAGUCUUGGAGAGGGGUGUGGAAUUCCAGGUGUAGCGGUGAAAUGCGUAGAUAUCUGGAGGAACAUCAGUGGCGAAGGCGACUCCCUGGCCAAAGACUGACGCUCAUGUGCGAAAGUGUGGGUAGCGAACAGGAUU
rnacentral:rRNA from 1 species